CGCCGGGCGCCCUGCGGGUAACAGAGGAGCCUGUGCGGGGCUGGCCACGCUGGUCCAGUUCGGAAGUUCACAGUCCUGGAGACCACUGAGCCCUGGAGGAGUCGCACAGGGACAGCGGCCCAGGCGUCACCGUCACCGCGGCGGAAGCUUCCCGGCGCUCUUAGCUGCUGGGCGACUCCGGAGCUGGCAUCAGCUGGCAUAAGCACACCAGUGUGCCCAGUUUGUUGAGCCUCUCCUUCCGCCUUCGGUUGUAUGUGGUCAAUCCUCAGGAUGCCCGUUGAAAGAAAAGAACAAAGGAAUUUCUGAGUGUGUCAGCUCGCCUGGGAGUGCUGGAGUCGAGCCCAUCCCAAGACGUGCUAGGGACCCUGGGAGGCCAGCCUCCAGGGCAGAGGACCACAGUCCCUUAGGAAACACUCACACACCAGCUUUGCUGGAGGCUCUUCCUACAAAGGGGAGCAUCACAAAAGGGGCACUAAGAUGGCAAGUGGGUGGGGGGCCAUGGCUCCAAGUGUUGCCGGUCUCCUCCCCAGUUCACCCCUCUCCCAGAUCUGGUUAGCCUGGCCUCCUGUUUCCCUCUCUGCUGGCAUUGUGGAAAAUCGUGAGAAUACUGAUCUAAGAGCAGGAACACUGACCAGCAGCCUGACCCCAAAGACCUAAGUGAGUACAUCUCUCACCUCUGUUGUAGUUUGGAACUUAAGUGUCCCCCAAAGGCCACGUGUUGGUGGCUGGGUCCCCCGCUGAUGGAACUCUUGGGAUGUGGUGGAACCAGAGGAGAUGGGCCUGGUGGAAAGAAGUGAGGUCUCUGGGGACAUGCCAUGAGGUGGGCAGCUUUGCUCUACCACACACUCCUGCCAUGCUCUGCCUGGGACCUCCAAAACCAUGAGCCAAAAUAAAUCUUUCCUUCUUUUAAGUUUAUACUCUCAGGUAUUUUGUCACAGUGGCAGAAAGCUGAUGAACACACCCUCCAACCUCCAAGGCUCAGAGACAUUUUCUCUGAGCCAGCACUGUUCAGUGUUCAGCAGCAGAAACCCACACCGGAACAGACAAAAAAGACUGUGGCAGGGUCAAGAGCAAAACUAUCCCACCCUCCCCCACAUGCUAAAUCAUCUAGAAUGUUCCCAUUCCUGACUCACAGGGGCAUCUAGGGAGUCACAGCUGCACACCUUGUUGGUCCUGCUCUCUAAGAGGUCAUGGAGUCACUCAGGCAAGUUGGCUUUCUACUGCUCAAUGUUGCAGGGGAUCCCUCCAGGACAGCCUUGCAUUCUGGUCCUGGGCCACCCCCACAGACAGAGGCAGACUCUUGUCUGCAGAGCUGGCUUCACAUUUUCAUGUCCCCUGCCUGGGAUCCAAGCAGAAGGAUGUCCAGCUCUCCACAGAUGCUGCACCUGUACCUACCUCCCGCCUUCCCAAGGAAGCCAGCCACAGUGUGCGGUGAAAAGUGACCUCAGAGAUGUCCUGACUCCAACAGCCUGUGAGGGCUUCUGUACACAGAAAACACCAGUUUUUGUUUUUGUUUUGAGCAGAUGCAAUUAAAGAUCUAGAGACAGGGAGAUCAUCCUGUGGCCCCAAAUACAGUCUCAUGUAUCUCUGUAACAAGGAGGCAGGAAAAUUGACCCAAGAAAAGAAGGCAUGUAAAGAUGGAGCAGAUAGGUUUGAAACUGAGGCCUUGAAAGCUGAAGGGAUGCAGCCACAGCCAGUGGACACCUGUGGCCAGCAGGUUUGGGAUUCUCUCCAGGAGCCCAUGGAGGUGCCUGGCCUGCCAACACUGUAUUUCCACCCUGUAAAAUGAUUCAGACUUCCAGCCUCCAGAACUGGAAAGAAUAAAGUUCUACUGUUAAAGCCUC